CGCAAUUUCAAUUCAAUGUGUUUAAUGCAGGCCUGAAUCACUUCAUUGAAUAUAUCUAUUGUUCCCUGGACGACAGAUAGAUGGCAGUGUAGCGCAGCUGUUGAACAGAAAGGCCGAAAUAGAAUGUUUGCUGAAAUAGAGCACAACUGCUCAGCUACAGCGAUCGACACAUCAGUUUGCUACCAGCCAAUUUUGCAGUCUGGUCGACAUGGAUCGAUUUAUUGUAAAAAAGAAACAAAAAUCUAUUGACAAUGAAAAUGUGGAAAUGCAGCUAGCUGACGUGCCUCCGGUGGCUAAGAGAAGGAUAUGAAGAACACAGAAAGUUCCAAGAGAAGUCGACAGACAAGUACUUUUUUGUACUGCAUGAUGGGACUAGCUCACUUUAUCUUAUUUGCCAGAAGGCAGUCAAUUGUUUUAAACGAGCAAAUUUAGAGAGCAACAUUUCCAGUCACACCAUGCCCACUUUGACAAAACAUAUCUGCCACAAAGCAACUUCAGAAACAACAAAAUAACGCAACUCAAAGGACCGCUCAAAGAACAACACAUGAUGGACAGAUCUAUCACUGUUGCAGAGAGAACCACAGAGGAAACAUGAGAUUGCUUGGAUACUAGCGAGGAACAAGAAGGCCUUCACAGAUGCAGAGAUUGACAAAUAAUGUUAUUUGGCCUCGGUCAAAAUGUUGUAUGCCGAUUUCACAAACAAGGAAGCUAUUUUAAAGCAAAUUAAGGGACUGCAACUCAGACUCGACCAUAACAAGAUGCAUAGAAGACAUCGGUAAGGAACUGAUUACUGUGGUGUUUUCGUAUUGCGCUUGACGAAAGCACCUACGAUAAGUGACAAUGCCCAAUUUUGUGUUUGGGUCUGCUUCCCUCAAAACGAGUCGUUCGGAGAAUAUAUUUUAUGUUUACUGCUCCUUCGGGGACAAACUGGAGCAGUGGAUAUUCUGAAAGCCCUUGUUCCAUUUUCUGCUGAUAAUAAUAUUGACUGGUAAAAUCUGGCCUCUGUGCACUGACGGCGCCCCAAACAUGUGAGGGAAGGAGAAGGGACUCAUAGGCCUGAUGAGACAGAGGAUAUUCCCGGAUUGUUUCAUUCAUUAGGAAGACUGAAUUACUGAAUGUUAUGUAGCAAGUCGUGCGCGUGGUGAACAUUAUUGCGAGGGCACUGAAUCACCGGUAAUUGCGCGAGUUGUUGGAGGAUUACCAGACAGAAUGCGGCGACUUGAUAUUUCACAAUGAGCUUUGGAAAUAAAAUAACUAUCCAUCCAUUACUCCUUCCUGUGUUGACUCAUGGACUUGAGGGACGGGACCAGGAAGGUCACACAAACAACGGUAGAGAGGAGCCAGAGCUCAGAGCAGUCACCACAUCCAACCCAGACAUACUGCAACAUUUUAGCUAUGAUGCAUUUGUGCGUGUGUUGGAAGAGUUGAAUUUGGAGUUUGAGUCAAGAUUCAAGGAUAUCAUGGAGUACAAGGAGAUUUUCAACUUCAUUGAGACCCCCUUUCAUGUGCCAGUGUUAUCCCCUACCCCCAGUCAUCACAGCCCUCUGUCCUGACCGUGCUGGAAUAGAGAGUGAGAUAGUGGAGCUGCAGGCAAAUGACACAUUUCAAGGUGAACUAAGAUCAGGUGUUACCCAUUUCUGGAGUCCUGUGUCAGACGCAGAGUAUCCACUUCUGAAGCAGUGUGGACAUCAUUUUUUGUCAGCACUCAUUCAUGUGAAGCAACAUUUUCAACAAUUACCAUUGUGAAAGAGAAACAGACUGACCAAUGCACACUGGAUUGCCUCAAAAGGAUAGCAACAACAGACAAUACAUUUAGAAUGAAUUCAGUCGAGGAGCAGAAGGGACAUUUUCACUCAUCCUAGUGAGUAAUACAGGUCUAGAGCAUUGACAAGAUCAUGAAUAACUGAAGUGGUUGCUAUAAUAAUGCUGUGCCCAGGCCUAAACCCUGAUUGAUUUACAUUCAAAAUCAUUCAAAGCUGCACAAAAUGUCAAUAUCAGUGGAGGCCAAGUGCCAAGUGAGCAUGAAAGAACAGUGCAUUACAACAUGGGACACGCAGCUCAAAAAUCUCCCCUAUUAAUCUUUAGGGACAACACAAUUAUCCUACCUAGAGUAGCCUACCGAACCACAUUGCAAUGAAUAAUUGUAUCACUCUUUUCACGUGAGUACAACAUUCUACUCUAGGCUUAGAGUGAAAGUGUCAUUUGAAUAAUGGCUCAAAACCCCUGUGAUUUGAAUAUUUAAUUCUAUUUGGAUCACUUCUGUGUCUACUCUCAACAACCCUCUGGCCCGUAGCCCUGUGUGGCAUCAACUGUGCCACAAAACUAUGCUGAAAUGGCAAAGUCAAUAUCCACUUUUAUAAACACAGGGUCACUACGGUUGUUAUUUGUGGUCGCAAACAUUCUUUUUCAGUUAAUUCUAUGAGGGCGGAGGGUGUUUUUUGAAGGUAGGGUCAUUUGAAAAUAUUUUUUACGUUGGGGAGGGGGAUGCAUUUUUUUUUAUUUUUAUGACACCUCGAGUUCGACCAGCUCCCCCCAGGAAAUUUCGAACAGUACCUAAUGAAUGUGACAAUCAUAGAUAUGGAAAGAUGGUACACCACCUAUCCUUGUAAUCGCGUCUUCUAUGACAGCCAUCAAUGGCGCUGUCCAUGCCAUCUCCAUUUUAAAGUAGUACAUUUCUUAUUCUUUUAUUUCCAUGAAUGUAUUGGCAGUUCAUAAAUAAACUGAAAAGUGGAGAGUGUAUAGUCUGAACCGGUAUAAAGCCAUGGUUGGUGAUUUACUGCCACCUACAGUUAUGGAAUGUUUGCUCAGGGGUAUAAUUCAUUGGGUGAUCCCUCCUGUUGACCUGGACGGAAUUCUGUGAUCCUUCCUUAACCCAUAGCAAUUUCAACCCAGUUGACUACUUAAAAAUGGGGAAAGCUCUCAAUGGCCUUGCUCAGCGAUGCCCUCUCGCUGAAUGAGACGUUAGCUCCCCUAAAUGCAACAAAUGUCAAACUUUGGGGUGGGGGGUCUCUAAGUGCUAAUUUAACCAUUCUCCUAUUUGUUUAAAAUAUAGUGGUUACACUUACAGUGCACUUUUCGAGAUCUUCAAGAUCCGUGAUUUGUACAGGGUUAGUAAUGACAAAAUAACAC
ensembl:lncRNA